GGCCUCCUCGCAGUGUUGCUGGGCCACGUCAGGAAGUGCUGGAGGACGUGGCAUUGCACCAACACCAGGCGGCCAGCCGUGUGGCUCAUCCCGCAAAUCAGGCUCUUCCUGUGCAUGGAGAUGGAGUCCCUCUGGAGGCAGCCCGUGGCCCUGUUCUCGGGCAGGUGGAGCAUGGAGACGACUGGGAACUUCACUAGACACGCAUCCAGCCGGUUCAAGGGCUUGUCGCGCCGUGCACCAGCUUGCAGGAGAAAGCCCAACGCCUCGCCAAGCACGAAGGCCUCCCUUCCCGACUUGAUGAAGGCAGAGUAGCGGUUGAGGUUGCGGCUCACAGUGACCGAGCUCCUGCCCACGUGGGGACCCAGGGAGCCGUCGAGCUCCAGGUAUGCACCUCUGCCCAGUGCACCUGGAUCGUUCACCGUCAUGGAGCUGCCAUCCCACUUGUCGUCCCAGUCAUCAUCACUGCCCUAGCUGGCCUAGUUGCCACCAAGGAGCUGCUGAGGCCACGGCUUCAGGGCAUCCCUACCGCCUGGAAAUCCUGCGCUGGCUGCUGGAAGGCACUCUGUGGUGGCACCAGCUGCGGCUGCAGUAGCAGCUGGAAAGCACUGAGAGAUGGCUUCAAGGAGGCAGGCAGUGCACCGGGCAGGGCCUUGAAACCUCUGGGUGGUACAAUGGCCAUGGCACAGUGGGUCAAGGCACAGGGGCAGCCAUGGCGCGCUGGGCCAGUCCAGGGUUGCAGACCACUUGCACUGCAGAUAUAAGGCCAGGGUUGCUGAGGCCAUGAGCCCCUGCGAGUCAGCCCUUGAUGUCCUGCUCACUACACAGGCUCAGCACUUCAUGUUCUCAUAGAU
rnacentral:lncRNA from 1 species